rnacentral:rRNA from 1 species
UGCUGCAUGGCUGUCGUCAGCUCGUGUCGUGAGAUGUUGGGUUAAGUCCCCGCAACGAGCGCAACCCCUGCCCUUAGUUGCCGAUCGGGUCACGCCGGGAACUCUAAGGGGACCGCCCGGACAACGGGGAGGAAGGUGGGGAUGACGUCAAGUCAGCAUGGCCUUUAUGUCCAGGGCUACACACGUGCUACAAUGGUUGGUACAACGAGUUGCGAGUCGGUGACGGCGAGCUAAUCUCUUAAAGCCAAUCUCAGUUCGGAUUGUAGGCUGCAACUCGCCUACAUGAAGUCGGAAUCGCUAGUAAUCGCGGAUCAGCACGCCGCGGUGAAUACCGUUCCCGGGCCUU